GUAGGGAACUCUUUACGAACGAGCGGCUACGAGCGGGUAGGACUGACUAGUACGAGAGGAACGUUGGUCCGGGAUUGAAAGCGUUGGUGCUUGGUGGUUUAUUGCCAUUGGGGCUUUGCCUUUGUCCUGGGGCUUACGGCUGAACGCCUCUAAGCCGGAAUCCCGUCCCACGACGUCCGCGUCUGCUUUUCCGAGACGGGCGACAGAACGAUUAGGCCCCUCUUCGCUCUUCCCGAGUGACUGGGGUGGUGUGUGUCCGACCUGUAUAUUUCGGCAGGUGUCUUUCGAAAGCAGGAAAAUCUGCUUGCAGACGACUUGGGUUUGUACGAGUCGGGGUGUCGUACUCGGUAGAGCGGCCUGUUGUGGCUGCGAUGCGUUGAGACUUGUCCCUCGACUAGGAGAUUUGUCCGCAACUAGACGGACGGAGCUCUCAUUCUCUUCGACAGUUUUUUUUUUAUUUAUGUUUCGUUCUUUUUUUAAAUUGUGUGCUAAGCGAGUUUGAAACAUACCUACUUUUCAUAUUGUCUGCGUCCGAUGCGCUUAUAUGAC
rnacentral:misc_RNA from 1 species